rnacentral:rRNA from 1 species
GUGCACGCUGGCGGUAGGCCUAACACAUGCAAGUCGAACGGCAGCACAGUAAGAGCUUGCUCUUACGGGUGGCGAGUGGCGGACGGGUGAGGAAUACAUCGGAAUCUACUUUUUCGUGGGGGCUAACGUAGGGAAACUUACGCUAAUACCGCAUACGACCUACGGGUGAAAGCAGGGGAUCUUCGGACCUUGCGCGAUUGAAUGAGCCGAUGUCGGAUUAGCUAGUUGGCGGGGUAAAGGCCCACCAAGGCGACGAUCCGUAGCUGGUCUGAGAGGAUGAUCAGCCACACUGGAACUGAGACACGGUCCAGACUCCUACGGGAGGCAGCAGUGGGGAAUAUUGGACAAUGGGCGCAAGCCUGAUCCAGCCAUACCGCGUGGGUGAAGAAGGCCUUCGGGUUGUAAAGCCCUUUUGUUGGGAAAGAAAAGCAGCAGGUUAAUACCCCGCUGUUCUGACGGUACCCAAAGAAUAAGCACCGGCUAACUUCGUG